UGGGGAAUAUUGCACAAUGGGGGAAACCCUGAUGCAGCGACGCCGCGUGAGCGAUGAAGGCUUUCGAGUCGUAAAGCUCUGUCCUAUGGGAAGAUAAUGACGGUACCUACAGAAGAAGCAACGGCUAAAUACGUGCCAGCAGCCGCGGUAAUACGUAUGUUGCGAGCGUUAUCCGGAAUUAUUGGGCUUAAAGGGCAUCUAGGCGGUAAGACAAGUUGAAGGUGAAAACCUGUGGCUCAACCAUAGGCUUGCCUACAAAACUGUUGAACUAGAGUACUGGAAAGGUGGGUGGAACUACACGAGUAGAGAUGAAAUUCGUAGAUAUGUGUAGGAAUGCCGAUGAUGAAGAUAACUCACUGGACAGAAACUGACGCUGAAGUGCGAAAGCUAGGGGAGCAAACAGG
rnacentral:rRNA from 1 species